rnacentral:rRNA from 1 species
AUUGAACGCUGGCGGCAUGCUUUACACAUGCAAGUCGAACGGUAACAGGCCUUCGGGUGCUGACGAGUGGCGCACGGGUGAGUAAUGCAUCGGAACGUGCCCAGAGGUGGGGGAUAACGCAGCGAAAGCUGUGCUAAUACCGCAUGUGAUCUGAGGAUGAAAGCGGGGGACCAGGCAGCAAUGUUUGGCCUCGCGCCUUUGGAGCGGCCGAUGUCAGAUUAGGUAGUUGGUGGGGUAAAGGCCUACCAAGCCGACGAUCUGUAGCUGGUCUGAGAGGACGACCAGCCACACUGGGACUGAGACACGGCCCAGACUCCUACGGGAGGCAGCAGUGGGGAAUUUUGGACAAUGGGCGCAAGCCUGAUCCAGCAAUGCCGCGUGCGGGAAGAAGGCCUUCGGGUUGUAAACCGCUUUUGUACGGAACGAAAAGGCUCUGGCUAAUACCUGGGGCUGAUGACGGUACCGUAAGAAUAAGCACCGGCUAACUACGU